AUGCACGCUGGCGGCGUGCUUCACACAUGCAAGUCGCACGGGAAACCUUUUAAUGAAGCUUCGGCAGAUUUAGCUGGUUUCUAGUGGCGGACGGGUGAGUAACGCGUGGGUAACCUGCCUUAUACAGGGGGAUAACAGUCAGAAAUGACUGCUAAUACCGCAUAAGCGCACAGGACCGCAUGGUCCGGUGUGAAAAACUCCGGUGGUAUAAGAUGGACCCGCGUUGGAUUAGCUUGUUGGUGGGGUAACGGCUCACCAAGGCGACGAUCCAUAGCCGGCCUGAGAGGGUGAACGGCCACAUUGGGACUGAGACACGGCCCAGACUCCUACGGGAGGCAGCAGUGGGGAAUAUUGCACAAUGGGGGAAACCCUGAUGCAGCGACGCCGCGUGAAGGAAGAAGUAUCUCGGUAUGUAAACUUCUAUCAGCAGGGAAGAUAGUGACGGUACCUGACUAAGAAGCCCCGGCUAACUACGUG
rnacentral:rRNA from 1 species